AAUAAGAAAUCAAACCCAAUCAAGAUAUCAACCUUACCUCAAACCCUCUGCCGAUUUCUGAUUUAAACCUCAAUCUCAGUUGUACGUUUUCAAAAAUGGUGAGGACCGAGUUGUCUGCGAAGGCAAAGAAUAAAGUAAGUGCAUGCUUAAUGAAGUAGGAACUGUAAAUAAGCAAGAUGAAAAAUUAGAGUCUCUUCAUUUGCAGAGAGACACUUAAAUGGCGAACAGUGGAAUGAUGGACUAUUAUCUACAGUUAGGAAGCGGGUUCACAUGGAGUUAGAAAGAAAAGCAAUGCAGGGGGAUGCUAGCAUGGCAUUGAAUUCUCACUUCCAUGGGAAAAUUACUUAUAGAGCAGGAAAUAAGUGUUUACGUUGGGAUGAGCUAGAAGGGGAUUAUCACAAAGUCUUGGCGAGGUGAUCCCUUGCACUAUUCUCUGCCAGGAACAGGGCAAAUUAGUUCUCAAUAGGAAUCUGCAACAAAUGUCCAGAAUAUAGUUUUCCAAGGGAGGAACAAUUCCCAAAUCCUUAACAUAACGGAAGGAUUUAAGUAAUAGGAGCAGUGCAUAAGCCGAAAUGACUCAAAUCAGUUGGAAAUUGUCCGUUAAUUUAGUCUCCAUUUAGUGUUGCCUUCAUCAUCCUCAAAGAUAUCAACCUUCACAUCACUCAGCACUGGUGGUGGGAGUGUAAACAAUGGUGGAAGCUUCUUUCCAUUACUUUGGAUGGGUGGUAAUAUCAAUGAACAAAGUACCAUGCUUAGUUCAGCUUGGGAUUAACCCACUGGAUUAGGGUCUUCGCGUGAGGGUUUUGGACUGCAUAUCAAGAAGGCCCUUAGAGGUGUGAAGGUUGAAGUAACUCAUGGAGGAAGUAUGAGCAGACUUAUGGGUUUUCUAUUCAAUGAACACAUUUUCCCUGUUUGCAAGUUAGAAAUCAACAAAGGCCAAAUCAUAUUUCCAUGGAGGUUUGUAAAAUUGUGGAGGGUCAGAGGUACUCGAAAAGACUCGAUGAACGUCAAAUAACUGCUCUUUUGAAGGUUACAUGUGGGCGGCCACGGGAAAGGGUGAAAGAUAUUAUGCAGAAUGUUCGCCACAAUGCUUAUUACGAGGACCCAUUCGCUAAGAAAUCUGGAAUAAAAACCAGUGAUAAGCUUGCUCAAGUUGGGGCUCGCAUUCUUCCUUCCCCAUGGAUUGGUUGUUUACACUGCUUACAACAGAUGACUUUAUGAUCAGUGGGGGAUAAUGUAUGUCAACGU